rnacentral:rRNA from 1 species
GACGAACGCUGGCGGCGUGCUUAACACAUACAAGUCGAACGGAAAGGCCCUGCUUUUGUGGGGUGCUCGAGUGGCGAACGGGCGAGUAACACGUGAGUAACCUGCCCUUGACUUUGGGAUAACUUCAGGAAACUGGGGCUAAUACCGGAUAGGAGCUCCUGCUGCAUGGUGGGGGUUGGAAAGUUUCGGCGGUUGGGGAUGGACUCGCGGCUUAUCAGCUUGUUGGUGGGGUAGUGGCUUACCAAGGCUUUGACGGGUAGCCGGCCUGAGAGGGUGACCGGCCACAUUGGGACUGAGAUACGGCCCAGACUCCUACGGGAGGCAGCAGUGGGGAAUAUUGCACAAUGGGCGGAAGCCUGAUGCAGCAACGCCGCGUGCGGGAUGACGGCCUUCGGGUUGUAAACCGCUUUCGCCUGUGACGAAGCGUGAGUGACGGUAAUGGGUAAAGAAGCACCGGCUAACUACGUG